CCUACCAUUCCAUAAUGAACAUAAUGCAAAAUCAGCCAUUACCACCUUCACCACCACCACUCCAUAUUCUCAUUUUCUCAAUCUUCAUUCAUUUUUUGCAUCUACCUUCUUCUCAAAACCUUUUCUUCUUCUUCUUUUGUUUUUCCCCUUUACAAAAUCUCAGAUUCUGAGAUGAGUUCAUAUCACAAAAAAAUACUGAAAGCAAAGGCAGUCAUCUCAGUUAUGUGUUCCCCAAAAUUUUGCAUAAUAAUCCAUUAUCCAGGUUGUGAACCAUUUGCAUGGAGGACAUAGUGCUAUAUUUAUAGGCAACUAUGCUUAAUGGGUCGAAUGGAUUUGGACCGUACUAAGGUGAGGCCCAUUUCCUAAAAGCAAUCUGUCGUAUGGUGCAUGAGUUGUUGACGGUAAUAGGAGGAGUCGUGCAUUGUUAUUGGAAAAGAUAAUCUCAAAAUAGUGGUGUAUUCCUCAAAAAUGUGAUUUUCUUUUUGUAGUGUGCCUUUCUAAGAUCUAGUAAAGGAGACAUGUCGCCAUAUUUUUUGGGAUGAUGUUAGAAGCGUGAUACGUAAGCCACUUUCAAGAUAGUAGAUUAUCUCGAAUACCCUUUCAACUUUCGUCCCAGACGACCCCAUCCCAGACGACCCCGUCCCAGACGACCCUUUAGGGCGUAAUGAUAUAGUUUCGACAUUUUUGAUAAGUCUUGAGUAAUUUCUUGUGAUACAAUUGUCGUGUCUGAGAGGUAUCACGAAUUCGAAGAGUAUCAUGAAUCUGAACUUGGUUUGACAAGCGAGGAGGACCGCCUUGUUAGGAGGAAAUUACAUUCUAUACCCUUUUUAUAUUGUCCUUUUUUAUUUUUACCUUCUUUUUUAAAAUCUAUCAUUUUUAUCUCUUUUUUUAAAUAUUGUACCAAUUUUGCCCCUGUCACUUCAAGAUACUCUUCAUGUGAUUCUCUUAUGUAAAGGUAUUUUGGGUGCAAUACAUAUAAAAAGAGGUAUGUUUCAAAUAAAUAUAAAAUUAGAAGUAAAUUUGAUUAAUUGAUGAAUAAAAGAGGCAUUUUUCAA